UAGAACUCUUAACUUGAGAAGUGGAAUGAUAGAGUAACGUCUUGAAACGCUUCCCCUAAUACUCCGACAUGCGCCUUCUAGUUUUGCGACAUAAGAAGGGGUCUGAAGCUCGGUGAAGUCAUCUGAAAAAUUACCGAAGUACCUAUUUUAACAGGCAACCGAAAAGGAUCUCAGAGGUGAGUCCCGUAGUUGAUAGGGUGGGGGUCACAAAA
rfam:Bacillus cereus ATCC 10987 plasmid pBc10987, complete sequence.